rnacentral:rRNA from 1 species
GUCGAACGGUAACAGGAAGCAGCUUGCUGCUUCGCUGACGAGUGGCGGACGGGUGAGUAAUGUCUGGGAAACUGCCUGAUGGAGGGGGAUAACUACUGGAAACGGUAGCUAAUACCGCAUAACGUCGCAAGACCAAAGAGGGGGACCUUCGGGCCUCUUGCCAUCGGAUGUGCCCAGAUGGGAUUAGCUAGUAGGUGGGGUAACGGCUCACCUAGGCGACGAUCCCUAGCUGGUCUGAGAGGAUGACCAGCCACACUGGAACUGAGACACGGUCCAGACUCCUACGGGAGGCAGCAGUGGGGAAUAUUGCACAAUGGGCGCAAGCCUGAUGCAGCCAUGCCGCGUGUAUGAAGAAGGCCUUCGGGUUGUAAAGUACUUUCAGCGGGGAGGAAGGCGACAGGGUUAAUACCCCUGUCGAUUGACGUUACCCGCAGAAGAAGCACCGGCUAACUCCGUGCCAGCAGCCGCGGUAAUACGGAGGGUGCAAGCGUUAAUCGGAAUUACUGGGCGUAAAGCGCACGCAGGCGGUCUGUCAAGUCGGAUGUGAAAUCCCCGGGCUCAACCUGGGAACUGCAUUCGAAACUGGCAGGCUAGAGUCUUGUAGAGGGGGGUAGAAUUCCAGGUGUAGCGGUGAAAUGCGUAGAGAUCUGGAGGAAUACCGGUGGCGAAGGCG